rnacentral:rRNA from 1 species
UACAGAGGGGGCAAGCGUUGUUCGGAAUUACUGGGCGUAAAGGCGCGUAGGCGGCCUGUUAAGUCGAACGUGAAAUCCCCGGGCUCAACCCGGGAACUGCGUCCGAGACUGGCAGGCUCGAAUCCGGGAGAGGGAUGUGGAAUUCCAGGUGUAGCGGUGAAAUGCGUAGAUAUCUGGAGGAAUACCGGUGGCGAAGGCGGCAUCCUGGACCGGCAUUGACGCUGAGGAGCGAAAGCCAGGGGAGCAAAC